GCAUUAAUUAUGCAGUUUUAUUAAAUGUAGUCAUCAUCUUCUUAACUAACUUCAGUGCAUUUGUUUAUUAGUACUGGAAACUUGCUUUUUUCACAGAAAUGAUGGCCGGAAUUGAGGAAAGAUUAUUUGAGGGAGAGAGCACUGGGAAAAAUCUGAAGUAUUCAAUUACAGACUUUCAGAAGGACAAUUUCAGGAAGGUUUAUUAUCAUUACAGCUGGGUAAAAAACAUUGAGGUCUCAAUUUUAAUCGAACCAAUCUCAUCUUUAUAAACUGAUUGGUAAAUCCCAAGGAUGGAUCGUCUCUUUACAGCUGAUGAAUGAACAGAACAUUAUAGCACAUCUCUCAUCCAUUAAACCACAAUAGACUUUGUGCUUUGUUACUUUUGAUAAGAAACAAAGUCUCAGAUUUGAUUUCUGUCCAUCUUAUCUUGAAAUGUAACCAAUAAAUCUGACUGUGGUGCUCUCUAUCUAAUGCAGUGACGAUCACGCAGUGUGUCUCAGGUCAAGUGAAGCGACAGCAUGCAGCACACUUGAAAGAUCACGUCUUCCUCUGUUUUUAACACCAGUUACGGGCUACAGCGCCAAAUAAACAUGAAUGAAUGCCAAAGGGUCUGUAAACAGAUCCAGGACAAUUUACUGACAUGAAUCCUGUCACAUGUAAUCGCUCAAUCAGUGCUUCAGCCGUACUUCAGAGACGUCACAAACAGCUCGUCAACAAGAUGUCAUGUUUCUCAUCAAAUCCAUAUUCAGGGACCAUCAACUUCUUUAGAUUGAGACUGCAGACACUACAGCCUUGCUUGAGCUUUCUGAAAGAAUCGUAGCAUGUGGUACACAGGAUCCUAACAUGUGAUGAAAGGAAGACAUUGUCAGAAGAAGGGAGCAGCAGUAAGGAGAGCAGGGUUGAAGAUGACAGCGAACAGGUGAUAAAACAAACUGCACUAAAGGAGAUGCAGAACAAGACAAGAUCACCGUCAGCAGUUUCAUGCAGUGGAUUACUGGUCAGGGACAUGUCCCCAUUACUUCUGCACAUUUGAUCCUGACUGUCAGCUUCGAUAUGGUCAGCAUAGUUUCUGCUUGCCUCUAGUAAAUGCAUGUUCCUGUACUGUAACCUACACAGCAGCGAGAGACAAACACAGAGUUCCUCAGUCCCACUUUACAUGUCCCUAAACCGACCUGUCUCUACCCCUGGAUCUAGAUCCAUCUCCUCCAACUUUAAAUAUGUCUUAACCGAGCGUCUCUGCUCGCUGGAUCUUGUGUGUUCUGCAGUGAGGGCUACUGACUAAGACAGCAUUACCAUUCCUCGUAUCUCUCAGAUCGCUCAUUAUUUGUGUGCAUCACUCCAAUCUGCCACAGCUGCUCGGGACUUCGAUUGUCCUCUGAGGAGAGUGAAUGAUGAUUCCAGGCUUCUGAACAUGUGUCCAAGUCUGCCUGAAGUCUUGGGAGAAAAGUGUAGUGCACACUGAAAAGCUCCUCAAUCACUGAUCUGUCGAGCAAUCCUUCUGCCUCCAGCGAGUGCAGCGUGUCUGAGGACUUGUUGGUGACCGUGAUUCUGACAUCACGCCAGAGACGCUCAAUCCUGUUAGAAACAAUACAGAUUGAAAUCCAAAAAAAAAAAAAAA